rnacentral:rRNA from 1 species
AUGCACAAGCUUGCGAUAUCCUCUUCAAUGGAUUGUGCCCCGAAGAAUUUAACAAACUUAGCCAUCUUGAGAAUGCAAAGGAAAUUUGGGAAUCCUUUGGAUAAUGUGCACGAAGGUACCAAGUCUAUCAAGGAAUCCAAAUUGGAUGUGCUUCAAAGUCAACUUGACAAGUUCAAAAUGAAGGAUGGUGAAGGAGUCACUGAAAUGUACUCUAGGCUUGCUCUCAUCACAACUAAGAUUGCCGGCUUAGGAAGCGAAGAGAUGACCGACAGAUUCAUCAUCAAGAAGAUCGUAAGAGCCUUGGAUGAAAAAUAUGAUACCGUGUGCACCUUGAUCCAAAUGAUGCCUAAUUACAAAGAUCUCAAGCCAACAAAAGUCAUUGGAAGAAUUGUUGCUCAUGAGAUGUCACUCAAGGAUAAGGAAGAGCUUCACAACAAGUCUAGUGGUGCUUAUAAAGCUUCAUGUGAUGCUCCUGCCACAUCAAGUGGGAAACAAGUCUUCAAUGAAGAAUUGAGAUUAAUGGUGAAGAACUUCAACAAAUUCUAUAAGAGUAUAAGCAAAGAGAGAAGCUCCAAGUCAAGGUCCUACAAUGAGAAAAGAUCUUCUAUUCGUGAUCGCAAUUGCUACAAUUGUGGAAGACCGGGACACUACUCCAAUGAGUGUACGACUCCCUACAAAAGAAGAGAAGACUCACCUAAAAGGAGAAGUAAAAGAGAUGAAUCACCUCCAAGAGAGAGAAGGAGUAGAGAUGAUCGUUAUGAAUGA